UAUGAUAUGAAAAAUUGUGAAUUUCAGCUGAAAGUGGCUGAAAUGUUAAAGGAAUUGUUUAAAAAAUCAGCAUGAAUAUUGCACAAGUAAAAUAAAAUGGUCAGGUGCGUUCUAACCUGUUCUCAAUGACAAGACAAUGCAUGUUUAUCAUGUUAAGAGCAGUCAGGGAUUGCUCAGUUGGUUUAUAAUUAUUUGAUAAGCUAGACAGAGGUCAACUUGUACUCCUACUAUUGACUUAACUUGACCAAACAAAACAGGAGAUCGGUCAGGUGUUUACAGGUAUUUGACAUGAUUGUACAUGGCAUCACUUUAGUCAGUUCUUUGGCCAACCUGCAUGCCUGAUGUUGUACCUGUGUAAAAUUAUUGAACGAAUUAUGCUGAACACAUCAACCAGUUGUUGCUGGGUGCGUUGUUGCUUAACCCAGACGUCACAGUGUUUUGGAACAUGCGGAGAGAGCUGACUAGCCUGGAUCCUCAGUUCGAGCUGCAC